UACAGAGGUCCCAAGCGUUGUUCGGAUUCACUGGGCGUAAAGGGUGCGUAUGCGGUCGUGUAAGUCUGACGUGAAAUCUUCAAGCUCAACUUGGAAACUGCGUCGGAUACUAUUCGGCUAGAGGAAUGGAGGGGAGACUGGAAUACUUGGUGUAGCAGUGAAAUGCGUAGAUAUCAAGUGGAACACCAGUGGCGAAGGCGAGUCUCUGGACAUUUCCUGACGCUGAGGCACGAAAGCCAGGGGAGCAAACGGG
rnacentral:rRNA from 1 species